GGAAAACUAAUUCCUAGUGUAUUUGCCUAUAUGUGCUAUAUAUAUUAUAGUUUAACCAAAAUCAUGUCAUUUUUGGCCUUUCUCCAGUUACAAAAAUAAUAACCUAAUAACAGAUUAAUAAAUGUGUCAUUUGGUUUUGGCAAUUUUAAAUUUGGAAAAAUGUUAGGUUAAAAGUAGAUACAAAUCACAAAUGUGUUAAAUAUUUGUUUUUCUUGAGUUAAGAUAUAUUUCAAAUGAGUUUUUGUAAUACCUAAUGAAGUUGAUUUAGUUUAAAAUGUUAAAGCUCAAACUAUUAUUCUGAGAUAAGUAAUUUCUAAUUCUGCAGUAUUUCGAAAACUUUUUUAGUUCUUUUGAGAUAACUAAUUUCUAAUUAUAUAUAUCUCAGAAACCAUAUUCCUAUAACUUUUUUAAAGAAAUGUUUUAUAAAUAGGUCACAAGAAAUAUGGUCUGCAUUAAAGACCUAGGCUUAUUGAAUUCCCAGAGGAUCUGGCAUAGAUUUUUCUUUUUGUUCUUUCAUUCUCUCUCUCUUUUUUUUAAAGGCAGUUUAAAGCAAGCACUGAUAUCAGGGGUAUUAAUUUGUGACCCAAGCGAUUCUGUUGAACAUCAGAAUCUAAUUUCAGUUCUUAAAUUAUGGCUUUGUGACUUCAUAUAUAAAGUGGAGAAUACCUCAUAUACUGUGACUUGAAAAAUGAAAUUAUGUUAUUAUUUUUUCUCCAUAUAUUCUGAGGAAAAGUUUCUGAGUAUGAUCACUUCAGGUACAGUUUCAAGUGAAGGACAGUUCAGGAAAGUAAUAGGAAAUCUUAUGAUAGCAAACUAUAAUAAAAGUUUGAAAAAUAUUUUAAUGAAUUGUUCUGUGUAUUCACAUGAUAAAAGUAUAUAUUAAUGUUAUCCAAUGAUUUCUAAUGGAAAGCCCUUAUUAGCCCUUAGGGUCUGUUGAAUAGGAAGUACUCAUGUAUUUGAAUUUGAAAUAAUUUAUUUAAAUCAAAUCCAUCCCAAGUCAUUAAUUAUUGUUCAAAUCAAGGAGCCUCAAUAAAGAUACCACAUUAGUUAAAUUUGAAGUUCUGGAAGAUGGAGCCAUGCUUCAAAAUUUUUUCCUAUACUCUGAUUCUGAUUUGUUCUUAUUGUUAAGCACUACUGCUCUAAAUUAGUUCAGUAAAAUCUGUCUCUCGUGUUAGUUUUUAAAUCAGUAGUAACCCAAUUUAGUUUUGAUGAUUUAAGUUCCACAAAGGAGUAUAUUCUGAUAAGUAAUAUUCCUUGAAGGAAGAUCUCAAGUUCCAUCCACUUGCUUAUGUGUAAGAUUACUAUGUCUCAUCUACAAAUUCAAAAUAAAAACUCUAUUCAAACUGUUCAGGUGAGAAAAGUAAUGGAUUUUUUUCCUUGAGAGCUUUCUUUUUGAAGAGAUGGAGGGGACAGAUAAGCUUAGUUCACUAAACCAUGGUUCCAGAGUUGUGGAUAUCUGUUAAAUUUGGAAAAGAAAGUGUCACAGAUUUGUGUCCUGGUAAAUGGAUGGAGUUAAUUCUCACUACUUUGCAAAAUACUCUGCUCCCCAGGAGUUCUAGCAAAGCUUUGACAAUCCCCAAGGAGCAGUGUCAUUUUACUCCUUCACUACCUAAAAUGAAGUUUCUCAAGUUGCUCCUAUGUGUGUUUCCUUUUUAACAUUUGGAAAUAGGAACUUGAAAUUAUUCCAGUAAGUAGUUUUCUGAAGUUUCUGUGGAGAAUAAAGUAAAUAUGUAAUUUUGUUUUGGAAAUUUGUGUUUGCUAUUCUAUAAAUAUUUGAUGAGUGAAUUACAUUAUUCUAAUAAAACCCCAUGCCUUUUCAUUACAUCUAAUUUGAGAUCUGAAUUUCAUGUUAUACAAUGCUUCUUUAAAGAUGCUUUAAUUAAAAAUAUUAAGAAAAUAUAUAGAUUUGUAUGUCAAUUUAUACUUCAGAAAUCCAUAUAUUUGUCAUAUUUAUUUUUUUAAAAAGCCUCCUAAUCGCAUGACUUAAAUGGUAUUUAAAAUGAACUCCCCUCAAAAUAUCUGGUAACUUUGUCCAAAAUUUUAUGUGUUGGAAGCUGUCAGCCAUCCAUGUUGAAAGUUAUUUUAAAAUUGUAUGUAUUUUAUAUUACUAUGGUGUCUGUG
ensembl:lncRNA